rfam:Haemonchus contortus, ISE/inbred ISE, WGS project CAVP01000000 data, contig: Hcontortus_44751
GGCCCAAAUUUGAGGUAGACUAGAAUAGUAGAAUCAGCCGGCUAUACAAAUCUACUCUACUUCAAGUUUGUGCCC